UCUCUCUUCUCUCCCUCUCUCUCUCUCUCUCGUACGCUCUUCUCUCCCUCUCACUCUCUCGUACGCUCUUCUCUCCCUCCUCUCUGCCUCAUCUCAUCCUUCACCAUAACAUCCACCACAACCCCCCACCACCACCUACAAAUCAAUCACUCGUCAGAGGGAGGGAGUGGCCGAGUGAGAGAAGAUUUGCCGGGGAGGGAAGUUCCGGUGAGGAAGAGAGAGUUCCGGCCGUGAUAGAUAGUUCCGGUGGUGGUUCGCGGCGGUGUUUGGCGACGGCGAUGCUUAUUGCUCCUUCGUUCCUCUGGUUUGAUCUUAGUUUCUAUACUAUAUUUAUUUUUAUUUUUUUCGUUGCUUUUUUUUUUGCUGGUGAAGAUGUUGAAGAUUGGAGGUGGUGGUGAUGUGUAGUGGUUAUGUUGGAUGGCUCCAUGGAAGGAUAAGGCUCCUCCAGUCCUCCACCUUCCUCCAAGCUAGCCAAAUCUGGUGGUGGCAAGCAGAAGAAGGUUCGUUUUUCUCUUCAAAGUUUUUUUUUUAAAUUUUUUUUUCUGUAAAAGUUUAUUUUUUGACAAUUUGGUGUUCUCUUGGAUCGAUCCGCUGCGGUGAAACUAAGUGGAAUGUCUGAAAGAGCUUAUAUUAGAUCCUAUAAUUCACUUCACAAUGGCAUCGGAGUCAAGUUGAAGCUAGAUGUGAGAGAAUUGGCGAUUCAAUUCGGUUGUGUUCGGAUUAUACCUUAUGUUCGUGACGGUCUUAAGCUGUAAGUUAUUGAUUUUGUGGUUUUAAUAAUGUCUGCUACAUGUUUGAUGAAAUGCUAUUGAAAAAAAACACUAAAAUGUGUUGCUGAAAAUCGCCGUGCUUUUACUCGUCCGGUGUUUAUGGCUGUUGCUUUUUAUUUAUGUGCAAAGAAACACAAGGUACAUUUGUAAUAAUCUCAAUACAAACACAUGGCAUGUGGUUAUAUAUUGUAAUGACAUGAUUUGUGAUUGUUCUUUGCUUGUGUUUCUGAUUCAUGAGAUUAUUGUGCAGAAAGGGCAACUGGGUCAUGGAGAUACCAUUCAGCGUGAUAGGCCGACUGUGGUGUCUGAACUAUCAAAAUACAAAAUUGUUCAAGCUGGAGCUGGGAGGAGCCAUACGGUAGUUGUUACGGAUGAUGGAAAUUCCCUAGCAUUUGGAUGGAACAAACAUGGACAGCUAGGUUCCGGUUCUGCAAAAACUGGUAUGGUUUCCGCGGUAUACAUUUUAAGGGUGACUUUUGUUUGCUCAAUGUGAUUCAUACUUAUCACUGGCUUGGUAUAGAAUAUAGAUGUUAUGUUAAAUAUGGUCGAUGGAGGGAAUGGUAUAUAAUGCAAUGGUUACUACAUGAGCGUGUAGUAAAGUUACUACACUUACAUUUAUAUUGUCAUUUUUUCUUGAAUCCCAUAUAAUUUAAAGUGAUAAUUUAUGAGCUGAUUAUCAACAAAGCCUUUCUAAUUUAAACAUGGUGAAAAUGAUAUCUUCUAGCACAAGCAUGUAAUAAGUUCUCGUGGUUAGCUUAUACAGGUCAAUCUGGACUUCAGUUCUUAAGCCGACAUAUAUGAAUUGAGUUAAAACUACUUCUUCUGAAACAGACACCACACUCUCCAGACCCACAAUGUUGAAAAUAAAUAAGUUUCAAUUUUUCUAUAUCAUUUUGAUUCACAUGUCAUGCCCUCAUUGUUUUGUGUAAAGUCACCAGCUUAAUCUAUUCAUACCAUUCUUUGUUAUCUGAUACUCAUCAAAAACCAGUUAGUCAUCUUAUGUAAUAGUUGUCAUUGUCAAGUUUCAUUGUUAUCAUUAUUAACAUUUAUAAUGUAUCAUGUUCACUAACUAAUCCCUAUUUGUACUACUACUAUGAUUUUUUGCCAUAGGAUGACUCCUGCAACGGUUUACAACAUUAUGCUGCUUUAGGAAGAGACAAGGUAAAUGACCUUUGUCAAUUUGCUUUCCUUGUGUCCUUUUCCAAUUUUUGAGUUUCAAGUACUUAGUCCUAGGUAUUAGAGAUCAAGAUGGGGAAUGAAUAUCACUUAUGAAUGUAACUUUGUGUCAAGACUUUGAUGGUUGUUGAAAAUGAUUUUGGCUAAUUGAAAUCCCUUCCUUAUUUCAUAUAUUUCAUUUCAUAUUCUGAUUUCUUUUUGCGAAUUUUAUUGUUUGUUCAGGUUCACAAAAUUACGGUUUGAUUGUGUAAGUUUUCUAAACUUUAUUUGAUUGUAUUUGAGUAAUAUUUAGCUGAUGUUUGAGAUUUGAGUAAGUUUUCGUUUCAGAAUUCAACUCUCUAUUACUUUCUAUGGUGUUUGUCAUUUAUCUCCAUCAUAUAUUAGGAGGAGAAAGUUGCAUUAGGAGGCUAUCCUACUAAAUUUGUUUGUUGAAUUGCUCUCCCGGACAUUUUAACACAUUCAUUUUUUUGAAGGGCGAGUAACGAGAAUGAAGUUGGAAAGUUGCUAUUUACUAUUAUUGGGAAAAUGUAGCAAGAUUAGCAAUGCCAUGAUGAAGGAGUGGCUUGCAAUGUUUUUCCUUAGCAUUCUGAUUUACAAGGUCAGUCCUUCGCUUCACUCCAUUUUUUUCUUAACUGAACAUGAACCUUAAGUGUCUCAUUCUUAGAAGGCUUUGUUGGUUCACUAGGACAUAAUCCCUUUAAAUAUGUCAAAGCUUUUUAGGUCGCCGGUAUAGUUAGCCGGUCGGUUCUCGGAACUAAUGAUGCAUUUCAGUAUGCCAGAAGUCGAUGCAAAAGGUUCAAAAUGGAGAGCUCUGCUAGAAGCAGGACUCAAAUUGUGUGUUACACCCUAAUAGCAGCAGCUACAAAGUCCUUUUUAUCAGGCAAGAUACAAUUGGAGAGUAAGUAAUUUUUUGACCAAUCAAAUAUUAUGACAAACUAUAAUCUAGGUCCAAAAUGGUUUUUCAUGAUAUUGAAAGGCUUCUAUAUACCUCUUAUAAUAAUACACCACUUGAUGGGUGCUUCUAUUCUGCCAUUACACUAGAGUUAGAUGCAAGUGAUGGUAUACUCUGUUCAUAUCUGAAAAAAUUGUUUGGAUCUAUCGCCGUCUUUACCUCUACAAGCCUAUCAAAGUUUCCUUUGAAAUACUUUUUACCCCAAAUACUGGCUUCUUCAUAACCAACAUUCCUAUCUACAUUGACACCUAAAUCAACAUCUCUAUAGUUCAAAUAUGAACUUCUUGGCGACUCUGACACAUAAGGUGUCAUGUAAUCAUAGAGGUUUCGAAUCCGAUCUAAUCUCACUCAUUUUCCCACCAUAAGGAUUAAAUGUAAGUGUAACCUUAAGAUGAGUACUUUUUUGCAAUUUUGUAAUUUUGAAAAUAUUGACAUGAUUUUGGAACUGCUUUCUUAUGCAAUUUAGAAUUUUUAACAGCAUGAGGGAAUUUUAAAACACCUGAGAUAUUAGAAAUUUAUUAGACAUAAGUUGUUUAACUUUAAAGAUUGUUGGAAGUAGUAUUGCAUUUUGAUUUAAUUGACAUGAUUUUGGUCUAAAGCUUCAAUCUUUCUACUUUGUUGCAAGCUUGUGUAUCUCAUCUUAGCUCCAUAGCAUAUUUCUGAUUCCACUUGGUAACUGAACAAUGGCAGUGCUUCUUUUUUUUUUUUUUUUACGUUUAAAUGGUUCAAUUCAAGCAAACUUCAUUCUUGCUGAUAUUUAUUGUGUAUGUUCUAAUGAUGUUGGAAAAUUGCAGCAAUGUAAAUAGAAUCAAAGUUUGGAUAAAAUUAAAUUGUGUAUGAUAUGUUUGGUGGUGUAGUGUGCACGAGGUUGCAACAAUAAUAAGAAUCAGAGGUGGAAAUUGAAAGUUGGACCAAUGAGUAGUUAAGGUUGAUAUGUUUUGUUUCCUUUCAUUACUAUGUUUUGCCUCCUCAUUGCUCUUCCUUUUGUUCCUAUAAUGACAGUCGAAUGGCACGUUCCAAUUGGAUGUCUCCUUAUUUUUUAUAAGAAAUCAGGUAGUUUAGUCUUAUAUUUCUUAACUCAUUGUUGUUCUUCUGAACAAAAGUUAUUUUUUAUAUUUAGAUGAUUCAUCUUGAUUGUUCCAUUUCUUUUUCUUUUCUUCAUUUUUUACUCCUUAUUAAUUUGCAGGAGUAUUCCUUAUCUUUGGCGACGAUUGAAUGCUUGCGGUGGCUCAUGGUCGCGGUGUAUAUUGUGAUGAUGAAGGUGUAGCUUACGGUGAUGGUUUAUGCGGUGCAUAUGUUGCCUUCAAUGGUGAGUGACUUUUUGCGCAUGAUUCUUCUUGGUCUCAUUCUUUUUGACAUACAGGGUUUUUAUUGUCCCAAGACACUGUAGAUUUCAGAUUACACAUUUUUGUUCAUCUUCAAAUCUUGAUCUUGACGUUUCUGCAAGCGAAGUUGCUGAUGGUGAAGAGGGUUCUCCAGAAGAACAUGAUGACUUUUGGAUGAAACUUAAACUCAUUCAGUCAUCCAAAUUCAUUAUAGAAGAAGGCCAUAUAUUUUCAAGGAGGGACGUUUAAGUCAAACCAGUUCUCUAAGCUAGCAUUUGAAAAUAAAUUAUCAGUUGAAGAGAAUUCUAUUAUCUGACUAAUUUGUAAUUUGGAGAUAGUAUGUAUCAGAAAAUCGAUUACUUAUUUGUACAUUUCGUUUUGAUUAUGUAAUCGGAUAUCUUAUAAUACAUAAAUUGGGUCCAGAAUAUAGCUACACUUUUUUUAAUA